GGGAAAGUCUGACAGAUCCAUCGGACUCCCUCCGAAAAAUCAAAGGGAUCCAGACCUCACUUCACAGACUCCUUGCAGCUUAGUGGGAGAGCGUUAAUUUUAGCAGCUCAUGAAAUCGAAGACAAGUGCCCUUCUAGCUGAGCCUUCCAGCCACUUCCUGAAGAGGGGACAAAUGUCCAGCCACCACCAGCCCCCCCACCCCCUCUCGGGCCCCAAACAUCACUGGUAUCUGGCCUUGUGAUCAGCAGCUCUGUCAUGGGGAUGUUGGAGAUGAACUGCUGGCUGGUGUGUUGCUGAGAAUAAAAACAGAACGGGAUUUCAUCCAGAAAUCUGGCAAUAGCAAGCUGAACACUACCUCUGAAACCAAGUUAAGUUCAGAUACUUUCCAG